CGAGGGGGGCGAGCGUUGUUCGGAAUUAUUGGGCGUAAAGGGUGCGUAGGCGGUUUGGUAAGUCUGAUGUGAAAUCUAUGGGCUCAACUCAUAGUCUGCAUCGGAAACUGCCGGGCUUGAGUAUGGGAGAGGUGAGUGGAAUUCCUGGUGUAGCGGUGGAAUGCGCAGAUAUCAGGAGGAACACCGGUGGCGAAGGCGGGUCUCUGGGCAGUAACUGACGCUGAGGAGCGAAAGCGUGGGGAGCGAACAGG
rnacentral:rRNA from 1 species